rnacentral:tRNA from 5 species
GCGGGGUUGGUGGAAUUGGUAGACACCCACGGUUUAGGUCCGUGUGCCUCUGGCGUGAGGGUUCAAGUCCCUCACCCCGCACCA